rnacentral:rRNA from 1 species
CGGAGCAACGCCGCGUGAGUGAUGAAGGCUUUCGUGUCGUAAAACUCUGUUGUUAGGGAAGAACAAGUGCUAGUUGAAUAAGCUGGCACCUUGACGGUACCUAACCAGAAAGCCACGGCUAACUACGUGCCAGCAGCCGCGGUAAUACGUAGGUGGCAAGCGUUAUCCGGAAUUAUUGGGCGUAAAGCGGUGUCAGGUGGUUUCUUAAGUCUGAUGUGAAAGCCCACGGCUCAACCGUGGAGGGUCAUUGGAAACUGGGAGACUUGAGUGCAGAAGAGGAAAGUGGAAUUCCAUGUGUAGCGGUGAAAUGCGUAGAGAUAUGGAGGAACACCAGUGGCGAAGGCGACUUUCUGGUCUGUAACUGACACUGAGGCGCGAAAGCGUGGGGAGCAAACAGGAUUAGAUACCCUGGUAGUCCACGCCGUAAACGAUGAGUGCUAAGUGUUAGAGGGUUUCCGCCCUUUAGUGCUGAAGUUAACGCAUUAAGCA